GACGAACGCUGGCGGCGUGCUUAACACAUGCAAGUCGAACGGAAAGGCGCUGCUUUUGUGGGGUGCUCGAGUGGCGAACGGGUGAGUAACACGUGAGUAAACUGCCCUUGACUUUGGGAUAACUUCAGGAAACUGGGGCUAAUACCGGAUAGGAGCUCCUGCUGCAUGGUGGGGGAUGGAAAGUUUCGGCGUUUGGGGAUGGACUAGCGGCUUAUCAGCUUCUUUGUGAGGUAGUGGCGUUCGAAGGCUGUGACGGCUAGCCUGCCUGAGAGGGUGGACGGGGACAAUGGUCCUGAGGUAGGCAGCAGUAUGGAACGGGAGGCAGCAGUGGAGAGUAUGGCAGAGCGGGCGGAAGUCAGUGGUAGCAGCGUUGCGUGCGUGAUGACGUCUUAUGGGUGAUAAACAGAUGUCUCCUGAGACGAAGCGGGAGUGACGGUAAUGGGUAAAGAAGCACCGGCUAACUACGUG
rnacentral:rRNA from 1 species